CAAGAUCUCUGCUCGAGGGAUGAUAUUGGUAGAGGGUUGAUACAUUGUGUGAUACUGAAACAGCCAUAUCAUAUUCACUUAUUAUAUAAAAGAGGGACGAAAGAUACCAGAGGGACAGUCAAACUCAUAAAUCGAAAAUAAACUGACAACGCCAUGGCUAAAAAUGAAAAAGACAAACAGACAAACAAUAGUACACAUGACACAACAUAGAAAACUACAGAAUAAGCAACACGAACUCCACAAAAAAACUAGGGGUGAUCGUAGGUGCUCUGAAAGGGUUAGCAGAUCCUGCUCCACAUGUGGCACAUUAUAACUUACGCAGAUGUUCUUUUAUGUGAUAUAACGUCAUACAGAUUUGGGAAUUGAGAAAGUCUUUGCAACAGUGAAUGACAUCGAUGCCGUGACGUCAUUCUGAUUAAAGGUGUGAUAAGCUCCUUUCCAACCGAAGCUGAUACUGAUAUCACUACGGAUAGCCGAUACAGCACGAUUGCUCACAGUCACUUGUCUAUGGAUGAUUCCAACAACAAAUGUAGGCAUGUUAUACACCAUUGUAAAGAUAAAUCAAUUUAAAUUUACGAUAUAACAAGUUUUAGUGGGGUUGACAGCCUAUAAAGCGGCA
rnacentral:lncRNA from 1 species